rnacentral:misc_RNA from 1 species
UCCGAGUUAUCCCCGGCAGUCUCUCUAGAGUGCCCAUCAUUACAUGCUGGCAACUAAAGACAAGGGUUGCGCUCGUUGCGGGACUUAACCCAACAUCUCACGACACGAGCUGACGACAACCAUGCACCACCUGUCUCCUGUGCCCCGAAGGGAAGGUCCCAUUACGGACCGGUCACAGGGAUGUCAAGUCCUGGUAAGGUUCUUCGCGUUGCUUCGAAUUAAACCACAUGCUCCGCUGCUUGUGCGGGUCCCCGUCAAUUCCUUUGAGUUUCAGUCUUGCGACCGUACUCCCCAGGCGGAGUGCUUAAUGCGUUAGCUGCGGCACCGAAGCCUGUCGGCUCCAACACCUAGCACUCAUCGUUUACAGCGUGGACUAC